AGGACUUAGCUCGCUUUGUGAACAGAUUUUGAAAAUCCCAUGUUCACAGUGGCUAAGUUCCGC
rnacentral:pre_miRNA from 1 species